GAACAAUAUUACAUACUCUACAUUAUUCCUUAGUAAUUGAUAUCCAACUGUGAUUUUUUUUUUCUAAAUCAUUUAAUCAUCUAUGACCAAGAUGAACCUAGCGAUGAGCUUAAAUUAAACGAUUCGUUCGGCCUAAAUCCUUCUGCUUCCGAGUUUGUCCCAAACACUCCAUCACCACCACACUUGCCACCUUCUCGCUUGACGCCUGGAACUCAUACUAGAUCCUUGCUCACCCCUCUGGAUUCCGUAUGGAGGAACUCCACCAGGUCACCUAGUCCUCAAUCGAAUAAGAAACUAAUCAAAUUUAUGAAAAACGUGCACUUCCCUAAGGAUUUCUUAAACAAAUGCUUAAAAGUUUUGCCCCCCGACGUGUCUUUGGCGGAUGUGAAGUACCAGCCAGAAAAUUUCCAAGAAAAAUGGUUCGACUAUUUGAAGCAAAGGGAAUCAGAAGCAGCAGAAGAAUGUAAGGCUGCAAUUGACGAAGGACCUGGGAGUUUCAUCGAAGAUAGAUGCUUUAUCGAAUCUGAACGAGUGAUACAUUUUUCCCGUUUCGAAAAAUGAGUUUCCUUCAAGCAUGAAUCAAGGAGAAUUAGACGGGACAGAGAAAUGCAAAGUUCGAUUGGUGAUCAUUCACAAAUAAAACUGUAGAGCCAAAAUAUAAACUAGCUCUUAUUUCUAUAACUUGUAACUAUGUUUCCUUCAUCGCUUAUUUUUGUAUCAAAUUUAGACUUUUGAAUGGACACAAUGCUCCCUUUAUUAAAAAUAUUAAAUAAAUAUUAUAAUACAUUUUUUUUUAUUCAAAACAAUUAUAUAAUAUCACAAUAAAGUUAACAUUUACCAUAUGAGACUAACAUUAAAAAAUAUUACAUUUUUAUACACCUGAUUAUAAAAUAAAUAUAUGUACCUUCAGAAAACACAAACCUAUAAUACUGCUUUCUUAUUUUAUGAGAUACAUACACAUUUGAGAUUAUUCCAGAAAUAUAUAUAAAUAUAUUUCACGAUAUAUUGUGAGACAUGCAUUACACAUAUACGACAAAAACUAUUAGUUUUAUUUUUGCCAUAAAUCAUUUUCAAGAGGGAGAAGAUUUUACAUUCAUAUAAAGUAACUAAAAUAUACAUAUGUGCAAAUAAAUUUAUGGAGGAUACAAGCAAAAUUCUCACAUAAAUUUGACAGCACUCUAUUUCAGACUAGUAGUUAGUUAUUUUAUGUUGUCGAUUGUUAACCCAAACGAAUCCAGUCUUACGAUUAAAAAAAUAUGGUAGAAAA